AAACUCGCAUUGUUGAACCCUAUUGUCACUCGAGUAGCUGUAGCAACAAAAUUGAUUUCUCGUCGCUUGCAGUCAAACCAAAGCCCUAAUUGUCAUUUUUGUCUAGGUGGUUUAACCCAUUUCGUUGGAGCAGUCGAUAGACGAGUAGAAAUCAAAUUUUCAGUAAGUUGUUCAUUUAUAGCCGCCUCGCGAGUUUCAUGUAGUGCCGAGAUGACUUUCAAUACUGUAGUGUGAACAAGUAUGGUUAUAUAUUUAUAUACUUUAAGAUUUCUAACAUUCCAAAUUCUGUGAAGUAUCAUUGUAGCAAUUUCUAAUAUGUCUAGCGGAGUUUGUUAGUGUAAAAGUGGUUUUAACUAUAAUCUUCUAGUUGAUGUUUUGAUGAUAACAAAAACAAAUAAAUAAAG
rnacentral:lncRNA from 1 species